rnacentral:rRNA from 1 species
GACGAACGCUGGCGGCGUGCCUAAUACAUGCAAGUUGAGCGAUGAAGAUUGGUGCUUGCACCAAUUUGAAGAGCAGCGAACGGGUGAGUAACGCGUGGGGAAUCUGCCUUUGAGCGGGGGACAACAUUUGGAAACGAAUGCUAAUACCGCAUAACAACUUUAAACAUAAGUUUUAAGUUUGAAAGAUGCAAUUGCAUCACUCAAAGAUGAUCCCGCGUUGUAUUAGCUAGUUGGUGAGGUAAAGGCUCACCAAGGCGAUGAUACAUAGCCGACCUGAGAGGGUGAUCGGCCACAUUGGGACUGAGACACGGCCCAAACGCCUACGGGAGGCAGCAGUAGGGAAUCUUCGGCAAGGGACGAAAGUCUGACCGAGCAACGCCGCGUGAGUGAAGAAGGUUUUCGGAUCGUAAAACUCGGUUGGUAGAGAAGAACGUUGGUGAGAGUGGAAAGCUCAUCAAGUGACGGUAACUACCCAGAAAGGGACGGCUAACUACGUG